rnacentral:rRNA from 1 species
CCUACGGGAGUCUGCAGUGGGGAAUAUUGGACAAUGGGGGCAACCCUGAUCCAGCCAUGCCGCGUGUGUGAAGAAGGCCCUCGGGUUGUAAAGCACUUUCAGUGAGGAAGAACGCCUGGUGGUUAAUACCCAUCAGGAAAGACAUCACUCACAGAAGAAGCACCGGCUAACUCCGUGCCAGCAGCCGCGGUAAUACGGAGGGUGCGAGCGUUAAUCGGAAUUACUGGGCGUAAAGCGCGCGUAGGUGGCUUGAUAAGCCGGUUGUGAAAGCCCCGGGCUCAACCUGGGAACGGCAUCCGGAACUGUCCAGCUAGAGUGCAGGAGAGGAAGGUAGAAUUCCCGGUGUAGCGGUGAAAUGCGUAGAGAUCGGGAGGAAUACCAGUGGCGAAGGCGGCCUUCUGGACUGACACUGACACUGAGGUGCGAAAGCGUGGGUAGCAAACAGGAUUAGAUACCCGAGUAGUC